CCUACGGGAGGCAGCAGUGGGGAAUCUUGCGCAAUGGGCGAAAGCCUGACGCAGCAACGCCGCGUGAGGGAUGGAGGCCUUCGGGUUGUAAACCUCUUUCAGUAGGGACGAUUGUGACGGUACCUGCAGAAGAAGCCCCGGCCAACUACGUGCCAGCAGCCGCGGUAAU
rnacentral:rRNA from 1 species